rnacentral:lncRNA from 1 species
AACUUUUAGAUAUUGCAUCCAACUAUAUGCAGGGAGAUUUUUAUUUUAUUUUCCUGAACUCUCAAUACACUACCAUUUGUUUCUAGGAUUCUGAUGUACAGAUGAGAGAGAGAGAAAAUAGAAAAAGUGUUGGUUUUGUUGGAGAUAGAAAGGGAAGGAGAGAUGUUAAACUGCUUUUAAGAAGAUGGCAAUUAACAAAGAAAAGUAGAAGGGGAUCGUUGCCCUAUUUUUGGAAAGCCUGACGGUUUUCAUGGUAUUUACAUGGACCCGAGGGUUUAUAGAGAUUAUAGAUUAUUUAGAGGGGAGGGCUAUUGUGCUUUUCGUUAAAUUAUAUCAGGACUGGUAUUCUUUAAUUUUGAUAUAAAAAAGUCAAGAUCACGCCUAACAGCCCAAGAAAAUGUUUCU